AUGCAUUCUUUGCUCCUAGCCUUUGUGCUAUUUGCUAUUUUACCCUCUAUCCAUUCUGCAGUGACCUUGACCCAGCCUGGGUCAGUGCAGCUACGACCAUCAGAGACACUCCGGCUCACCUGCUCCGUUUCUGGAUUCUCCGUCAGUACUUAUGGGUAUGGAGUGGGUUGGAUCCGACAGCCCCCAGGGAAAGGCCUGGAGUGGCUCUGCACUGUCUACUGGGAUGAUGACAAGUACUACUUGAACUCCCUGAGAAACCGCCUGACUAUCUCCAGGGACACAUCCAAGAGCGAGGUUUAUUUGGAGAUGAGUGGCAUGGAGGCAGGAGACACAGGCACCUAUUACUGUGUCCACUCUGCAGUGACCUUGACCCAGCCUGGGUCAGUGCAGCUAAGGCCAUCAGAGACCCUCCGGCUCACCUGCUCCGUUUCUGGUUUCUCCCUCAGUACUUAUGGGUAUGGAGUGGGUUGGAUCCGACAGCCCCCAGGGAAAGGCCUGGAGUGGCUCUCCACUGUCUACUGGGAUGAUGACAAGCGCUACCUGCCCUCGUUGAAAAAUCGCCUCACCAUCUCCAGGGACACAUCCAAGAGCGAGGUUUAUUUGGAGAUGAGAGGCAUGGAGGCAGGAGACACAGGCACCUAUUACUGUGCCAGAAGAGCACAGCAUGCAAAAGCCAUGGGGGACCCAGACAAAUACCAGCUGCAUUCUUGA